rnacentral:rRNA from 1 species
GAUGAACGCUGGCGGCGUGCCUAAUACAUGCAAGUCGAGCGAACAGACGAGGAGCUUGCUCCUCUGACGUUAGCGGCGGACGGGUGAGUAACACGUGGAUAACCUACCUAUAAGACUGGGAUAACUUCGGGAAACCGGAGCUAAUACCGGAUAAUAUAUUGAACCGCAUGGUUCAAUAGUGAAAGACGGUUUUGCUGUCACUUAUAGAUGGAUCCGCGCCGCAUUAGCUAGUUGGUAAGGUAACGGCUUACCAAGGCAACGAUGCGUAGCCGACCUGAGAGGGCGAUGGCCCACAGUGGAACUGAGACAGGGUCCAGACCCCUCCGGGAGGAAGCAGUGGGGAAUCUCCGGCAAGGGGCGAAAGCCUGACGGAGCACCGCCGCGUGAGUGAUAAAGGUUUGGGAAUCGAAAAACUAAGUUAUGGGGAAAAAAAAAAUGUGAAAGAACCUAGGCACGUCUGGAGGGUACCUAAUAAGAAAGCCAGGGCAAACUCCGUG